GUUAUUUAUAAUCUCUUUACUCGAAAUGCCAAAUGUACCUUCUCUAGAUAAACAGUAGGAGGCAAUAAUACCCCGUAUAAGGUGUCUAGCCUACCAAGAAAAGAAAAGGAAGAAGAAGCGUAGAGGGCGGGGCUGGAAAGAGGGAGGUAUAAAUAUCUGAUGCCGCCAUUGCUCUUUCCACUCCUGCAACCCUUCCGUUAAGAUGGAAGCCGAACACUACCUUACGGCAAACGCCAAAGGUAAAUGGAACUUGUUAAGUGGGCUUGGAAGUAGACGUCCAUGCAACCUGGGUUGACUGCUACCGUGAUGUUAUUGAACUCUCUCACUGAAUAUUUUGUGGAAAACGUAAAAUAUUCUGAGUAGCGAAGUAUGUGCUUGAGGUCUAAAUGGGCUUUGAGAAUAUAAUGUUGAAUACUGUUGAUUUCUCUACAUAGGUUGGACAAUGCAGACCUAUUCGAAGGUAUUGGAGCCAUUGGAGUUUGAUGGUAUUUACCCAUGUCCACGCUACAAUGAUGAUCUUUGAACUCUCUCUUGCCGAAUCCAACUUUGAAGAAACUUCUUUACCAGAUUCUGAGUAACCCAACGGAGCCCACCUCAGUUCAAUAAGACUUGACGAGAUUUAAAAUCCCCUUUUUCUCACAGACUGUAUGGACAGAACAAGGAUGAUGGCUGCCUAGAAUGGUGAGUGUUCCGUUUUUUAAUAACUGAAUAAAAUGACGGGGUGUAGUGAUGAUUAUCCAAUAGACAAGCAUAUGGCUGAUUUUUAGUGAUGCCAAUUUUAAUCUGAUUAACCUCAAGAGACUGUUUCAUCUUAAACUACAGUUUCUAGAAGUGUGGCUAACAAGUUCUCUCUGCAGGUGGGAAUGUGAAAUAGCUUCACAAACCUGGACUUCGGCCAGUUUGUCCAAUGGAGGACAUUGUUGAGGUGAGUCCCACAAGAUCUUAAUGCUAGUCAACUUUACCGUGUUUCAAUGACGAUAAACCUAGCUCACUUUGAACCGAUGUGAAACUAUACAAAUUUACUGAGAAACUUCAGAUUCCAUAUGAAUGGGACUAUAUUGGAAAGUUGCUAAUGUCUAUUUCUGCCAACAGACAUGGGAGUUGAUGGAGGACAUGGGAGUUGAUGGAGGACAUGGGAGUUGAUGGGGUGGUGAGAUUGUCAUUCAAAACCGCCCAUAAUUAAAGGUGAGGAUUCGUAUUUGUAAAAAAAUAAAUAAAAAAGUAUAUCGGUCGGCUUGAAAUGAUGAUCAUAAAUUAGAAUCUCGUUCGUCUGAAUUACUGAUGAGAAACCUAACCUGACUCAGGCCCAGGUAAUCUGCUGGAUUAAUGGGACCAUUUCUGUCAAAGCCUAACCAUCUCAUUUUGCUUUAGGUGUCAUGGUGCUGGUGUUCAGAGACUACUUCUACUCCAACCAAGGUGGGUGUGAAGAGACUGGGUGUUGCUUAAUGGCUGUAAUUUGAAUGCAAUUAGUCUCCUUAAUGAUGACACCCGCACAUGUCUUACGCCUUGGGUCAACGCCAGAACCUGAGAAGGUGAACCCACUGGUGCCAAGGCAGCAAGGGGAUAACCUGUUGCGGUUGCAACCGUCUGAAUGGUGUCUCUAUGAACCUGGGUGUCAUGCAGACGUAUGGGGCUUUAUUAAGGUGCUACCUUUUUCGUUCUAGGGUUCCUAGACUGGUCCAGUGUUCAUCUGCUACCCUGGUGUCCUUAAAACAUCUGGGUCAUCAUGGUAUGUUGACGUUCAUAUCACAAAGCACUCCAUGGCUAUAUAGAAUGAUGUUUUAUUUUACCGCCCCAGUCUGAAGAUUCAUGACUGAUUGGUACACACUCUGAUCCUCCAUAACGACAGACUUAAGCAGCUGGUUUACUGCGAUACACGUGAUCACUAAUGCGUUUGUUCUUUCCAGGUGGUCUGGAUCCUGUGGGUGCUUCUUACUGGAAGGUCACUGCAGUGCUGCUGGAAGUGUUGUCUACAAUAUGGCCGCCCCCCUUCAUGUCUGCAACUUCAACAUCGUUGGGCUCAUGGAGUGAAUUUCAAUAAAAAAACUUUGAAACCGGUUUAUGAUCGUCUAUUGAACUGAUUGUGAUUAAGGAGGACUGAUGUGAUUGCUUCUCAUGUUAAGCAGUAUUUUGGUCCUCAUCCUUCAGUACCUUAUUUGUAACUAUUUCACUAGGAAAUAACAUGUUUAUAUUAAACAUUAAGCAUCUCAUAAGGAGUGCGGACGUAGUUGAAAUGCAACAAACUCGCAGGGUAAAAGUUUUUCAGUACAGAGGAAGGCAAGUUUGCGAAA
ensembl:lncRNA